rnacentral:rRNA from 1 species
AGCGAACGCUGGCGGUAGGCCUAACACAUGCAAGUCGAACGGCAGCACAGUAAGAGCUUGCUCUUACGGGUGGCGAGUGGCGGACGGGUGAGGAAUACAUCGGAAUCUACUUUUUCGUGGGGGAUAACGUAGGGAAACUUACGCUAAUACCGCAUACGACCUACGGGUGAAAGCAGGGGAUCUUCGGACCUUGCGCGAUUGAAUGAGCCGAUGUCGGAUUAGCUAGUUGGCGGGGUAAAGGCCCACCAAGGCGACGAUCCGUAGCUGGUCUGAGAGGAUGAUCAGCCACACUGGAACUGAGACACGGUCCAGACCCCUACGGGAGGCAGCAGUGGGGAAUAUUGGACAAUGGGCGCAAGCCUGAUCCAGCCAUACCGCGUGGGUGAAGAAGGCCUUCGGGUUGUAAAGCCCUUUUGUUGGGAAAGAAAAGCAGCAGGUUAAUACCCCGCUGUUCUGACGGUACCCAAAGAAUAAGCACCGGCUAACUUCGUG